rnacentral:lncRNA from 7 species
UUCUUGUUACUGAAAGAGUGUUUGUCGUGCAUGAAGGAAAUGUUUCUGUGGGAGAUGUUUUGCAUUCGAGUGACGCCAGAGAGCCAAAACGUUGAGCUGUGUUCGCCGUAAGACCGCAAGCUGAUGAAGCUGGAACAAUUAAACUGAAACCCUCGGGGGAAAUGAAAGGAUUUCCCCUCCCUCUCAAGCGAGGCCACUGUUAAUCACUUUUCAUCCUGAAGAAGGACCCCAGCUGACUGAUGCCUCUUAGAACCAUAGAACCGUUAAUGUUGGAAAAGAUCACCAAGUUCAACCCCAAUCCAUCCCCACCAUGCCCUUAACAGCGUCCCUCAGUACCACAUCUCCAUGGUUCUGGAACACCUCCAGGGAUGGUGACACCACCACUCCUCGUGCAGCUGUGCCACUGCGCCAUCGUUCUUUCAGAGAAGAAAUUUUUCCUAAUAUCCAACUCUUCAAGACCAAAGUAGUGUUACUUGUUAUCAGACUGGACAGAAGGGAUCUGAGCCAGGACUGGGCAGUGGGGACCAUCUUGCUGUCCUCUCACAUGUUGGCGCUCAUCCCGGCCUCUUCACACACAAAGAUGACAUUGUUGAUGGGCCAGCAGCUGUUUGGAAGCUGCCAGACCUUUGCUGCUUGGUGAGCUUUUCUCUUCGAGCUUGGGAAAUGUCCCCAGUGGGAGCUGUGACCUGCCACUGCUGUCACCUGUGGGAAUGCAACACCUGCAGACCCCAGCCGGCUCCUUCCUGCUCCUUCAUCUUGGAAUACCAGCUGCAGGUUGCUUAUCAUCGGUCCGAGCCCUGAAGCAGAGGUACUGAUUCCGAUCUGCAGCUGCAGCCGGGCUUAAAUCUUGAUCUGCAAACGAUGUUUCUAUAAAGAGCAGGAAAGUUGGACUGCAUGUUCUCUCUGUUUAAAUGAAAAUACCUGCUCUUAACCCAAACCACGGCCAGUGCACCACACAAAAUGGCAUCACUGCUCUUCCCUUUGGGAUGAACUCAACUGGGGCUUCGACUCAGGGAGCAGCAGGGGAGAUGCUCAAAACAAGCUGAAAAUAGAAUGCAUUGACUGCCGCCGCUGCUGUCAAGACAGAGAUGUCACCAGGUACAAAUUUGGCUUCACUGGACAAAUGAAAAACAAAAUAGGAUGAACACCCAAGGGUUCCUUUUAAUGAUCAAGAAAACGGACUCCAGAAGAAGCCAUCUCAACUCCCAAAUUCAUUCAUUGUAUUGGGAAUUGGUGAGUGGAUUCCUGUCCCAACUCUGGGAGGGCUGUUGAAACCUUCCUGCUUCAGUGUGUCCUCCUUCUUGGUCUUCUCUUCUUGAGCAUCCACACACUCCUGCCAACCCAUGUCGUGCAUCUCCCUGAACAGCAAAAAAUGGCUUGUCUGGAAGCAGCACACACUUCUGUUCUCUCUGAGCAGACAGGAUGUGUAACAAAUGACUCACAAGCAGUAAUUACACUCCAUUCCUUCCUAUUCUGCAUUGAUUAUUCAGAUGUAGGAAGACGAGCUCUCUCCUGAACAAGGAAAAGAUCUGGAGACCCAAAUAUUGGAACACUGUUGGGUUUUGUUUGUUUCUUUUUUCCCCUCUCUUUUGUUUUUCAGAUACUGUUUACAGCCAUGGCACACCGAAGAGAUGAAACAUAUAUAAACAAAACCUCCUGUCAGAACGCUUGUAGUUUAUGUUUGUUUAAAGGACAAUUUUGUGUCAUCUCUUUGUAUUUUAAUAGUCAAAAUAAAUUUUGCAUAAUAAU